ACCGCGGAGCAUCUCUCUCUCUCUCCCUCUCUCUCUCUCUUUCCUUUUAUUUUAUGCACCAGCUUCUUCAACUCCUCUCUCGCCAUCCAUCGUCUCCCUACCUGGAUAGCCCCUCCCUUUCUUUCUCUGCAAACCAUCGAGCCUCGUUCUUUCCAUAUGUUAUGGCUGGUCUGGAUCUAGGCACCGCUUCAAGGUACGCCCACCAUCUCUCCCACCGUCCCGGCCUUCACCUUCGGCACCACCACGACCCCGAGUCCGACGACCAGAACGAUGGCGGUGACAGCAGUAACAACGGGCACAGCCAAUUCCGCAGCUCUGACCGCGAGGGCUCGGCGACGGACCAACAGGGACUCGAGCCGGUUGCGGCAGGCUCCGGGCCCGGGGACGUCGUGGCCCGGCGACCCCGGGGAAGGCCACAGGGCUCCAAGAACAAGCCCAAGCCCCCGGUGAUCAUCACCCAGGAGAGCGCCAACACCCUCCGGGCACACAUCCUUGAGGUCGGGGCUGGGUGUGAUAUCGUCGAGUGCAUCGCGACGUACGCUCGCCGCCGGCUGCGCGGGAUCUGCGUCCUCAGUGGCAGCGGCACCGUCUCCAACGUCACCGUCCGCCAGCCGUCGACGGCCGGCUCCGUCGUCACUCUCCAUGGCCACUUCGAGAUCUUGUCGCUGUCGGGGUCCUUCCUCCCGCCGCCCGCUCCCCCUGGAGCUACUAGCCUCACCAUCUUCCUCGCAGGAGGCCAGGGGCAGGUCGUCGGUGGGAACGUCGUCGGUACGCUCUUCGCAGCAGGGCCAGUGAUCGUGAUCGCUGCCUCAUUCACCAACGUCGCCUACGAGCGGCUGCCGCUCGAGGAGGAGGAACCACCGCAGAUGCAGAUGCAGCCGCCAGACGCGCAAGGGUCGGGAGGAGACGGCGGGAGCGGGACCAGCGGUGCAGGCGGCAACACGUUCUCGGACCCGUCCGGACUCCCCUUCUAUAGCUUGCCGCUUAACAUGGCCAAUAGCCAGCUUCCGGUGGACGCGCACGGGUGGCCGGCGGGCGCGCCUGGUCGGUCCCUGUUCUGAUACGAAUGCUGCAAUCGCAAUCGAAACGACUGCCAAAAGAGAUUUAUAAUUCCACGGGGAGAUGGAUGGCCGAAUCAUGGAUGACUCGAUGCUGCGGCGGGCAUGCAGCAGCAGCAGAAAAGGGGAAAAAAGAGAGGAGAGAAACCGAACAACUGAUCGAGUCCUAUGACAACGAGGAGACAUGAAGAAAGUAGAACAACAAGCUCCUCCUCACCUUCUUCGAUCAGAACAUCUACGAGGUUGGUCCCGAUAAAAUCUUUGCACAUUCGGAGUCCGUCGAUCGAGUUCACGCCACGUUUGGCUUCACAUUUACGAUCGGUUCCUUUUGUCUUCCUGCACCGAAUUAAGAAAUCAGAAAGAACACUGGUAGUGCCUAAUCUCAUGGCCAAGUUUUCUUUCACCAACUUGCUGCUAAUGCCCAUGAUGUUAUAUUUACGAUCGGUUGCUAAAACUCUAUUAUAUCCGGAAAAUUCUCAGAGAGGAGAUCGUAC